rnacentral:rRNA from 1 species
UUUUAUUAUUAGUUUAGAUUUAUUAAUUUUUAGAUAAUUUAUUAAUAUAUUAAAUAAAAUAUUGGUUUAUAAGUAAAAAUGAUUAAAUUAGUAUAAUUUUUUGUUAAGUUAAUUAUAAUUUUUAGAUAAAAUUAAGGAAUUCGGCAAAUUUAUUUUCUGCCUGUUUAUUAAAAACAUGUCUUUUUGUAAUUAUUUAAAGUCGAGCCUGCCCUAUGAUUAUUUAAAUGGCCGCGGUAUUUUGACCGUGCAAAGGUAGCAUAAUAAUUAGUUUCUUAAUUAGAAGCUGGUAUGAAUGGUUUGACAAGAAAAUUUCUGUCUCAAUUUUAAUAUUAGAAUUUAACUUUUUAGUUAAAAGGCUUAAAUUAUUUUAAAAGACGAGAAGACCCUAUAGAAUUUUAUAUAUAUAUUUUAUUUAAAAUUUUAUGGAUUAUUUAUUUUUAAUUAAAUUAUUUAUUUUGUUGGGGUGAUGGAAAAAUUUAAUGAACUUUUUCUUAUUUUAUUCAUUGAUUUAUGA